rnacentral:rRNA from 1 species
UACAGAGGGUGCAAGCGUUGUUCGGAAUUAUUGGGCGUAAAGCGCGUGUAGGCGGCAUAGCAAGUCGGGUGUGAAAGCCCUCAGCUCAACUGAGGAAGUGCGCCCGAAACUGUUGUGCUUGAGUGCCGGAGAGGGUGGCGGAAUUCCCCAAGUAGAGGUGAAAUUCGUAGAUAUGGGGAGGAACACCGGUGGCGAAGGCGGCCACCUGGACGGUAACUGACGCUGAGACGCGAAAGCGUGGGUAGCAAACAGG